rnacentral:rRNA from 1 species
CUGGUUAAAGCUAAAAGGGUCCAUCCCGGAUUACCAAUCUCAGAUAAACUCCGAAUGCCAAUGAAUUAUGGUCGGCAGUCAGACUGCGAGUGCUAAGAUCCGUAGUCGAAAGGGAAACAGAGACCAGCUAAGGUCCCUUUGUUAAGUGGAAUCACAGACAACUAGGAUGUUAGCUUAGAAGCAGCUAUUCAUUCGAGUGCUAGCUCACUAGUCCUGUACUAGAGUAUGUAGUGAUGGAGGGACGCAGUAGGCUAACUAAAGCAGACGAUUGGAAGAGUCUGUCUAAGCAGUGAGGUGUGAAUUGAGUCAAAUGCUUAAUUCUAUAACAUUGAGCUGUGAUCUCUACCCGUACCGCCCGACACAGGUAGUCGAGGCGAGUAGCCUCAGGUGAGCGAGAGAACUCUCGUUAAGGAACUCGGCAAAUGACACCGUAACUUCGGGAGAAGGGGUCUGACUUAAAGUAGUGCUUAGCGUAAGCGAAGGUAUGAAUUGAAGCCCCAGUAAACGGCGGCCGUAACUAUAACGGUCCUAAGGUAGCGAAAUUCCUUGUCGGGUAAGUUCCGACCCGCACGAAAGGCGUAAUGAUUUGGGCACUGUCUCAACGAGAGACUCGGUGAAAUUUUAGUACCUGUGAAGAUGCAGGUUACCCGCGACAGGACGGAAAGAAUGGAGCUUUACUGCAGGAUAUUGAGUGUCUGUACCACAUGUACAGGAUAGGUAGGAGUCUAAGAGAUCGGGACGCCAGUUUCGGAAAUCAUUCGCAGAGUGUGGUAUAAGGGAGCUUGACUGCGAGAGCUACAACUCGAGCAGGGACGAAAGUCGGGCUUAGUGAUCCGGUGGUUCCGUAUGGAAGGGCCAUCGCUCAACGGAUCUACCCUGGGAUAACAGGCCUAAGAGUUAUCGUACCUCGAUGGGUUGGGCUGUACGCCCAUUAAAGCGGCACGCGAGCUGGGUUCAGAACGUCGUGAGACAGUUCGGUCCCUAUCCGUCGCGGGCGUAGGAAAUUUGAGAGGAUCUGCUCCUAGUACGAGAGGACCAGAGUGGACUUACCGCUGGUGUACCAGUUGUCUUGCCAAAGGCAUCGCUGGGUAGCUAUGUAGGGAAGGGAUAAACGCUGAAAGCAUCUAAGUGUGAAACCCACCUCAAGAUGAGAUUUCCCAUGAUUAUAUAUCAGUAAGAGCCCUGAGAGAUGAUCAGGUAGAUAGGUUAGAAGUGGAAGUGUGGCGACACAUGUAGCGGACUAAUACUAAUAGCUCGAGGACUUAUCCAA